ensembl:lncRNA
CUCGGGCUCGGGUUUCAGCCAGCCUGGGCGGUGACGAGACGGGCCUGCAGGCCCGCGAGGCCUUGGCCGUGGAAGACCCCGCAGCCCGGUUCUCCGCGGGGUCACGACCCUGGCGUGACUGUGGGAGUCCUCGGGCCAGUCCCUGUGCACGAGCCACGUCGUCUCCUCCCCGAAAGGGGCUUCCCCGGGCGCCUGGGCUGGAACGGAGCGCUGAGAGGGCCGCUGAAGCAUCCGGUGCCGCUCUCCUUCCCUCCCGGACCAGAGGGGCAGAGAGCUCCGGCGCUGCGAGGAAGCUCCGGGCCAAAGCUUUAGUCAUUUAGAAGAGCCCCAGGUUCCAUGUGGGCAUCAGACAGCAGGGACACAGGAUGGAGUAACACGUGACCCUGCUCUGGAGGAGAUCAGGGGACAGGAGGACCCUGAGAAGUGGAGGACCCACCUUUAGGAGUCAAUGGCAGGUUCUCUGCAGGCUCAGGAGUGCCCUUCAACAUCGUCAUUCUGAUGUCCCAAAGCAGGUCGAGUUGGGUGGCCACAUAGAAGGUUGCUGUAGAACUAAUUUAAUUAAUUGUGGCUAUCAUUUCUGAUCUCUGGCUCCUAUGGGGG